UACAUAGGUGGCAAGCGUUGUCCGGAAUUACUGGGUGUAAAGGGAGCGCAGGCGGGAAGCCAAGUCAGCUGUGAAAACUACGGGCUUAACUUGUAGACUGCAGUUGAAACUGGUUUUCUUGAGUGAAGUAGAGGUUGGCGGAAUUCCGAGUGUAGCGGUGAAAUGCGUAGAUAUUCGGAGGAACACCGGUGGCGAAGGCGGCCAACUGGGCUUUAACUGACGCUGAGGCUCGAAAGUGUGGGGAGCAAACAGG
rnacentral:rRNA from 1 species